rnacentral:misc_RNA from 1 species
CGCCUUGGUCUCCGCUGGAGCGGGUUGAGGCUGUCGUGAUCCGUAGAUGGCCCAUGUUUGAAACAUUUCGGCUAUUUUCUGACAGCUUAUCAGUGUUUUCCGCCGGCCCGUCAGUCUGAGCUCGGGCGGGGCGACGGAGCGCCGCUGCCAUGACGGACUCGGCCGACGACAGUCGCGGCGAGAUGGCCGCCGAUGACGCCGUCGCGCUGGCCGACGUCGGGCUCGUGUGUGAACAUGUGCGCCGCGCCGCCGGCGUCCUCCUGGAGGAGGCGCCGACGCUGCCGCGUGCGCUGCAGCAGGCGCUCGACGAUCGUCUGAAUGUGGAGUGUAUCAAGAAGUUUAUAUCCGACCCGCAGACGCGCUCUCUGCUCAUCGAGCGCGUCUCUUCUAAAGAUGCUGACGAGGAGUCCGAGGGCCAGGAGGAGGAUGAGAGGGAGCUGGUGCAGUACCUCAUCUCCAAUCAGGUCCACUUCACCAAUGCCAAGAUGAACAGCCUGGUGCUGGUGAAGCGUGGCGCCGUGCUGGAGGCCGAGAAGCCACUCACCUCCCAGCUGCUGAUGACUACGCUGAACGAGGGGUCGCCGUACGAGACGCUGCACACGCUCAUCAGUAGCGCCGUCUCGCCGUUCUUCAAGUCGUACGUCAAGGAGUCCGGCAAGGGCGACAGGGACGGCGACAAGAUGGCGCCGGCGGUGGAGAAGAAGAUUGCCGAGCUGGAGAUGGGCCUUCUGCAUCUGCAACAGAACAUCGACAUCCCCGAGAUCACCCUGCAGGUCCACCCCGCUGUGGCUCAGGUGAUCAAGAAAUGCGCCGACGAGGGCCGGAAACCGCAGGUGGCGGACUUUGGUGAGAAGCUGGACGACUCGAGCUUCUUCAACCAGCUGCAAAACGGCGUCAACCGCUGGAUCAGGGAGAUACAGAAGGUGACCCGUCUGGACCGCGACCCGGCCUCGGGCACAGCGCUGCAGGAGAUCAGCUUCUGGCUGAACCUGGAGCGGGCCCUGCUGCGCAUUCAGGAGAAGCGCGACAGCCUGGAGGUGGCGCUCACGCUGGACGUGCUCCGGCACGGAAAACGCUUCCACGCCACCAUCAGCUUUGACGCCGACACCGGUCUGAAGCAGGCGCUGGCCACCGUCAACGACUACAACCCGCUGAUGAAGGACUUCCCUCUGAACGAGCUGCUCGCCUCCACUGAGCUGGACCGACUGCGCACGGCUCUGCGCAAUGUGUUCCACCACCUGCGCAAGAUCCGCAACACCAAGUACCCGCUGGUGCGCGCGCUGCGAUUGGUGGAGGCCAUCUCCCGCGACCUGAUGAACCAACUGCUCAAGAUCCUGGGCACCCGGCGCAUGAUGCAGGUGAACUUUGACGAGUUCGAGAAGCUGAUGGCGCAGUGUUUCGAGGUGUUCACCUGUUGGGACGACGAGUACGACAAACUGCAGGGGCUACUUCGCGACCUGAUGAAGAAAAAGCAGGAGCACAUGAAGAUGACGUGGCGCGUGCAGCCGUCCCACAAACGUCUCCAGGCGCGCAUGGAGCAGAUGCGCAAGUUCCGCCGCCAGCACGAGCAGCUGCGGACGGUCAUUGUGCGGGUGCUCCGUCCGGCCGUGCAGCGCCCCUCGGCGGCCGACCAGGCGGCGGUUACGGCCGGCGCCGGGACUGGAGAGCCCCAGCCGCAGCCCAUGUCACUAGACGCAGCUGACGCCAACGCCAUCGAGGAGGUACAGCUGGCUUACGAGCAGGUGAAGGACGUGGACUCCCUGGACAUCGGUAAGGAGGGCAGCGAGGCGUGGGAGGCGGCGCUGCGCCGGUACGACGAGCGCAUUGACCGCGUGGAGGCGCGCAUCACCGCCCGGCUUCGAGACCAGCUGGGCACCGCCAAAAACGCCAACGAGAUGUUCCGUAUCUUUUCACGGUUCAAUGCGCUGUUCGUGCGUCCGCACAUCCGCGGCGCGAUCCGAGAGUACCAGACACAGCUCAUCACGCGCGUCAAAGAGGACAUCGAGUCGCUCCAUGAGAAGUUCAAGGUCCAGUACCCACACAGCAAGGCGUGCCGCAUGAGCCAGGUGCGAGAUAUCCCGCCCGUGUCCGGGUCCAUUCUGUGGGCCAAACAGAUCGACCGCCAGCUCGGCACCUACAUGAAACGCGUCGAAGAUGUGCUCGGCAAGGGCUGGGAGAACCACGUCGAAGGACAGAAGCUGAAGGGCGACAGCGACAGCUUCCGCGUCAAGCUGAACACGGCCGAGAUUUUCGAGGACUGGGCCAAGAAGGUGCAGGCGCGCAACCUGGGCGUGUCGGGCCGCAUCUUCACGAUCGAGACGCAGCGCAGUCGCUCCGGGAAGGGCAACCUGCUCAAGCUGAAGGUCAACUUCCUGCCGGAGAUCAUCACACUCAGCAAGGAGGUGCGCAACCUCAAGUGUCUCGGUUUCCGCGUGCCACUGGCCAUCGUCAACAAGGCGCACACGGCCAACCAGCUGUAUCCGUUCGCCAUCUCGCUCAUCGAGAGCGUGAGGACCUACGAACGGACCCUGGAGAAGAUGGACGACCGUCCGAGCGUGCAGCUGCUGGUGGCCGGCCUGCGGCGAGACGCCCAGUCUCUGAUCGCAGAGGGCACCCAGCUGGUCUGGGAGUCCUACAAGCUGGACCCGUACGUGCAGCGCUUCGCCGACGCCACCUUCAACUUCCAGGAGAUGGUGGACGACCUGCUGGUCAUCCAGGACCAGAUCGACAUGGACAUCAGACUGCUGGAGUCGUGUCCGUACUCGCAUGCCACGUUCGCCGACAUCCUGAACAAGAUCCAGAAGGCCAUCGACGACCUCAGUCUGCACCAGUACAGCAACCUGGGCACCUGGGUCUCCCGGCUCGACGAGGCCAUCGAGGAGCGACUCGCCAGCAGACUGCAGGCGGGCAUCAAGGCGUGGACGGCGGCGCUGGAGGGCAAAAAGGAGGACGUCGACACGAGCAUGGACACGGAGCCCGUGGUACCCGUCAGCAAACCGGGCGGCGAGCCGGUGAUCACGGAGAUCGUCCACGAGCUGCGCAUCACGUACAACAACCUGCACCUGUACCCGGCCGUACAGGAGGCGCGCAGCCAGAUGCUGCAGCAGAUGUUCGCCUGGCAAAACAUCAUCAUCACUCUGAGCCGCAUCCAGUCCAGCCGAUACCAGGUGGGAGUGACCAAGAGUGACGCUCCGACCAGCUACAAGGGCCUGCUGAAGAAGAUGCCAGAUUUCAAGGCGGUCACCUCGGCCGCCUACGAGGCAAUGGAGAACAUCUUCAAACAGAUCAACAGCUACGUGGGCGAGUGGCUGUCGUACCAGAAGCUGUGGGAUCUGAACAGUGACCUCAUCUUCGGUCGGCUGGGUGACGACAUCGGGGCCUGGAUGGCCUGCGCCGAGGAGAUGAAAAAGCGCCGGGCCACGUUCGACACCUCGGAGACUCGCCGCUCGUUCGGCCCGGUCAUCAUCGACUACGGCAAGGUGCAGAGCAAGGUGUCGCUGAAGUACGACGCCAUCCACAAGGACGUGCUCAGCAAGUUCGGCUCGCUGCUCGGCGGACACAUGAGCAAGUUCCACGCCACUGUCUCCAAGUCUCGCGGCGACAUGGAGCUGCAGAGUAUCGACGCGGCCAGCACGUCCGACGCCGUCACCUUCAUCACCUACGUGCAGUCGCUGAAGCGCCAGAUGAAACAGUGGGAGAAGGAGGUGGAGAUGUACAAGGACGGCCAGCGGAUCCUGGAGAGGCACCGCUACCAGUUCCCGCAGAACUGGCUCCACGUGGACAACAUCGAGGGCGAGUGGGGCGCCUUCAACGAGAUCAUCAAGCGCAAGGACUCGAGCAUCCAGGCGCAGGUGGCCAGCCUGCAGAUGAAGAUUGUGGCCGAGGACAAGGUGGUCGAGACGCGCACCAACGACUAUCUCAAUGAGUGGGAGAAGCAGAAGCCGGUGGAGGGCCACCUGAAGCCGGCGGACGCGCUGCAGCAGCUGCAGCUGUCCGAGGCGCGACUGCAGCGACUGAAGGAGGAGCGGGACAACGUGAGCCGCGCCAAGGAAGCGCUCGAGCUCGGCGACGUGGUGGCCUCAGCCGCCGACGACCGGCUCGCCGUGGCGUUCGAGGAGCUGCACGACCUCAAGGGCGUGUGGUCGGAGCUGAGCAAGAUCUGGGAGCAGCUGGACGAGAUGAAGGAGAAGCCGUGGCUGAGCGUGCAGCCCAGGAAGCUGCGCCAGCAGCUGGACGCACUGCUCACGCAGUUGAAGGAGCUGCCCACACGGCUGAGGCAGUACAGCAGCUACGAGUACGUCAAGAAGGUGCUCCAGGGAUACGCCAAGGUGAACAUGUUGAUCGUGGAGCUGAAGUCGGACGCGCUGAAGGAGCGGCACUGGAAGCAGCUGCAGCGCCAGCUGAGGGUGCGCUGGGUGCUCUCGGAGCUCACCCUGGGUCAGGUCUGGGACGUGGACCUGCUGAAAAACGAACACGUCGUCAAGGAUGUGAUCCUGGUGGCCCAGGGAGAGAUGGCCCUGGAGGAGUUCCUCAAGCAGGUGCGCGACUGCUGGCAGACGUACCAGUUGGAGCUCAUCAACUACCAGAACAAGUGCAAGCUGAUCCGCGGCUGGGACGACCUCUUCACCAAGGUCAAGGAGCACAUCAACUCGCUCGCCGCCAUGAAACUGUCGCCCUACUACAAGGUGUUUGAGGAGGACGCCGUGUCGUGGGAGGAGAAGCUGAACCGCGUGGACGCCACGUUCGACGUCUGGAUCGUGGUGCAGCGCCGCUGGGUCUACCUGGAAGGCAUCUUCUCCGGCAGCUCCGACAUCAAGACGCUGCUGCCCGUCGAGACGUCGCGCUUCGCCAGCAUCAGCACCGAGUUCCUGACUCUGAUGAAGAAGGUGUCCAAGUCGCCGAUGGUACUGGACGUGCUCAACAUCCAGGGUGUGAUGCGCUCACUGGAGCGGCUGGCCGACCUGCUGGGGAAGAUCCAGAAGGCGCUCGGAGAGUACCUGGAGAGGGAGCGCUCCAGCUUCCCCAGGUUCUACUUUGUGGGUGACGAGGACCUGCUGGAGAUCAUCGGCAACAGCAAGAACAUCCCGCGUCUGCAGAAGCACUUCAAGAAGAUGUUCGCCGGCAUCGCGGCGAUCCUGCUGAACGAGGAGAACACGGAGAUCCGCGGCGUGGCCUCCAAGGAGGGAGAGGAGCUGAUCUUCGAGAAGCCGAUUGUGAUCGCCGACCACCCCAAGAUCAACGAGUGGCUGAGCGCCGUGGAGCGGCACAUGAUGAACACACUGGCCACCGGUCUGGGCAGGGCCAUCGUCGGACUGCGCGCCUGGAUGACCGAGAAGGGAUCCACCGGAGCCUUCAUGGAGUGGUGCGACCAGUACCAGGCCCAGCUGGUGGUGCUGGCCGUGCAGAUCUGGUGGACCGAGGAGCUGGAGGCGGCGCUGGGCGGCGGAUCUCCCUCCACUGCCCUGCCCGCCGUCCUGCAGCGCGUCGAGGAGAUGCUGGCCAUGCUGGCCGACUCGGUGCUGCAGGACCAGCCGCCGCUGCGGCGCGUCAAACUCGAACACCUCAUCAACGAGUUCGUACACAAACGAACAGUGACUCGUGCGCUCGUCAAAAGCAAGGUGGACUCUCCCAAGUCGUUCGAAUGGCUGCGCUGUAUGCGCUGCUACUGGGACGGCAAGCAGCCCGACCCGCUGCGACAGCUCAGCAUCCACAUGGCCAACGCGCGCUUCCAGUACGGCUUCGAGUACCUCGGUGUGCAGGAGCGACUCGUCCAGACGCCCCUCACGGACCGCUGCUACCUGACUAUGGCGCAGGCCCUCGAGGCCAAGCUGGGCGGGUCGCCCUUCGGUCCGGCCGGUACGGGAAAGACUGAGUCGGUGAAGGCGCUCGGAAACCAGCUGGGCAAAUUCGUGCUCGUCUUCAACUGCGACGAGAACUUUGACGUGCAGGCGAUGGGUCGCAUCCUGCUCGGUCUCUGCCAGGUGGGCGCCUGGGGCUGUUUCGACGAGUUCAACCGUCUGGAGGAGCGCAUGCUGUCGGCGGUGUCGCAGCAGAUUCAGACCAUCCAGGAGGCGCUCAAGGCGCAGGAAGAGUCCAAGGACAAAGCGGUGCAGUCGAUCGAGCUGGUGGGCCGUCAGACCACCGUCAACCCCCAGAUCGCCAUCUUCAUCACAAUGAACCCCGGCUAUGCGGGCCGCUCCAACCUGCCCGACAACCUGAAGAAGCUGUUCAGGUCGCUGGCCAUGACGCGGCCCGACCUCGGUCUGAUUGCUGAGGUCACCCUCUUCUCGCAGGGCUACCGGACGGCCGAGCGACUCGCCAACAAAAUCGUGCCCUUCUUCAGGCUGUGCGACGAGCAGCUGUCACGUCAGAAGCACUACGACUUCAGCCUCCGUGCGCUGAAGUCUGUCCUGGGCAGCGCGGGUACCGUGAAGCGCGACCGUAUCACGUUCAUCAAGAAGAACCUGGCGGCGGCCAACCAGCCGGUGGAUGAGGCCAACAUCGCCGAGAACCUGCCCGAGCAGGAGAUCCUGAUCCAGUCGGUGUGUGAGACGAUGGUGCCCAAGCUGGUGGCCGAGGACAUCCCGCUGCUGUUUUCGCUGCUCUCGGACGUCUUCCCCGGCAUCGAGUACCAGCGCGCAGAUAUGGGAGAGCUCAAAAAACACAUCAGACAGGUGUGCGCCGAACAUUACCUGUCGUUCGGAGAGGGAGAGGAGGCCGGCGCCGGAUGGGUGGAAAAGCAGGCGUAUGCCGGCGAAACAUGGCUGGACAAGGUGUUGCAGCUGUACCAGAUCACCCAGCUGCACCACGGCCUGAUGAUGGUUGGACCCAGCGGCAGCGGAAAAUCCUGCGCCUGGCGCGUACUUCUCAAGGCUCUGGAGCGACUGGAGGGUGUCGAGGGCGUGGCUCACGUCAUCGAUCCCAAGGCCAUCUCCAAGGAGGCGCUGUACGGUGUGCUCGACCCCAACACGCGAGAGUGGAACGAUGGUCUUUUCACGCACACCCUCAGGAAAAUCAUCGACAACGUGCGCGGCGAGCUGGACAAACGUCAGUGGAUCAUCUUUGACGGCGACGUGGACCCGGAGUGGGUGGAGAACCUCAACAGUCUGCUGGACAACACCAAGCUACUGACGCUGCCCAACGGCGAGCGGCUCUCCAUCCCGCCCAACGUCCGCAUCAUGUUCGAGGUCCAGGACCUGCAGUACGCCACGCCGGCCACCGUGUCGCGCUGCGGCAUGGUCUGGUUCUCUGAGGACGUUCUCACCACGGAGAUGAUCUUCGAGAACUACCUGUCACGUCUGCGGCACGUGCCCCUGGAGGAGGGGGAGGAGGAGCGGCGCGCGGCCGCCGUGGCCGCCAGUGAGAAGGAGGACGCCGUCAGCCCGGCGCUGCAGCUGCAGCGCGAGGUGGCCACCCUGCUGCAGCAGCACCUCACCUCAGACGGACUGGUCGUCAAGUGCCUCGAGUUCGCGCGCGGUCUCGAGCACGUGAUGGACUUCACUCGUCUGCGGGCUCUCUCCUCACUGUUCUCAAUGCUGAACCAGUCGUGCCGUAACCUGCUGCAGUACAACGCGCAGCACCCGGACUUCCCGCUGACUCCCGACCAACUGGAGGCGUAUGUGCCACGCUCGCUGGUGCACGCGCUCCUCUGGAGCUUCGCCGGAGACGGGAAGCUGAAGACGCGCGACCAGCUGGGCGAGUUUAUCCGCGGCAGCACGACCAUCCCGCUGCCGGCGGGCACGGGCAGCAUCAUCGACUACGAGAUCACGGUGCAGGGCGACUGGACGCCCUGGUCGGCCCGGGUGCCGCAGAUCGAGGUGGAGACGCACAUGGUGGCGGCGCCCGACCUGGUCAUCCCCACGGUGGACACGGUUCGACACGAGGCGCUACUCUACACCUGGCUGGCAGAGCACAAACCGCUGGUGCUGUGCGGCCCGCCCGGCUCCGGUAAGACGAUGACGCUGUUCUCGGCUCUGCGCGCGCUGCCCGAUCUGGAGGUGGUGGGUCUCAACUUCUCCUCAGCCACCACACCCGAGCUGCUCCUGAAGACGUUCGAUCACUACUGCGAGUACAGGAAGACGCCCAACGGCGUCGUCCUGUCGCCCAUCCUUCUCGGCAAGUGGCUGGUGGUGUUCUGUGACGAGAUUAACCUGCCAGAUAUGGAUCAGUACGGCACCCAGCGCGUCAUCAGCUUCCUCAGGCAGAUGGUGGAGCACGGCGGCUUCUACCGCACCUCCGACCAGACCUGGAUCAGACUGGAAAGGAUCCAGUUUGUGGGCGCGUGUAACCCGCCGACGGACCCGGGACGGAAGCCGCUCUCCCACCGACUGCUGCGCCACGUACCGGUCGUGUACGUCGACUACCCCGGAGAGACGUCACUCAAACAGAUCUACGGCACGUUCAACCGGGCCAUGCUGCGGAUGCAGCCGGCACUGAAGACGUACGCCGAGCCUCUCACAUCUGCCAUGGUCGAGUUCUACCUGCGCUCCCAGCAGCGGUUCACGCAGGAUAUGCAGCCGCACUACGUCUACUCACCGCGAGAGAUGACGCGAUGGGUGCGAGGCAUCUGUGAGGCCAUCAGGCCGAUGGAGGCGGCCACCGUGGAGGAUCUGGUCCGACUGUGGGCGCACGAGGCGCUGCGCCUCUUCCAGGACCGACUCGUCCACGACGAGGAGCGGACCUGGACCAACGAGCACGUGGACCAGGUGGCCCUCCGGCACUUCCCCAACAUCAAUAAGGAGGCGGCGCUGAAGCGGCCCAUCCUCUACUCCAACUGGCUCUCCAAGGACUACGUGCCCGUCGACCAGGAGGAGCUCAGGGACUACGUCAAGGCCAGGCUCAAGGUGUUCUACGAGGAGGAGCUGGACGUGCCGCUGGUGCUGUUCAACGAGGUGCUGGAUCACGUGCUGCGCAUCGAUCGGAUCUACCGGCAGCCGCAGGGCCACCUGCUGCUGAUCGGUGUCAGCGGCGCCGGAAAGACCACGCUCUCCAGAUUCGUCGCCUGGAUGAACGGACUGUCCGUGUUCCAGAUCAAGGUGCACAACAAGUACACGGGCGAGGACUUUGACGAGGACCUGCGAACUGUGCUGCGACGCUCGGGCUGUAAGGGUGAGAAGAUCUGCUUCAUCCUGGACGAGAGCAACAUGCUCGACUCGAGCUUCCUGGAGCGGAUGAACACGCUGCUGGCGAACGGCGAGGUGCCCGGACUCUUCGAGGGUGACGAGGCGUCAGCGCUGAUGACCCAGUGCAAGGAGGGCUCGCAGCGAGACGGUCUGAUGCUGGACUCCAACGAGGAGCUCUACAAGUGGUUCACCAGUCAGGUGAUGCGUAACCUGCACGUGGUGUUCACAAUGAACCCGAGCUCGGAGGGUCUGAAGGAUCGGGCGGCCACGUCUCCGGCGCUGUUCAACCGCUGCGUGCUCAACUGGUUCGGUGACUGGAGCAACGGCGCCUUCUUCCAGGUGGGCCGUGAGUUCACGAGCCGCGUGGACCUGGACCGGGCCAACUGGUCACCGCCCGACUACUUCCCCGUGGCGUACGACGAGCUGCCGAACCCGCCCACACACCGUGAUGCCAUCGUGAACGCGUUCGUACACGUGCACCAAUCGCUGCACCGCGCGAACCAGCGACUGGCGAAGCGGGGCCAGCGCACCACCGCCAUCACACCGCGCCACUACCUGGACUUCAUCAACCACUUUGUGAAGUUGUACAACGAGAAGCGGGCCGACUUGGAGGAGCAGCAGCUGCACCUGAACGUCGGACUGAACAAGAUCGCAGAGACCGUGGAACAGGUGGAGGAGAUGCAGAAAUCGCUCGCCGUCAAAUCGCAGGAGCUGCACCAGAAGAACGAGGCUGCCAACCAGAAGCUGAAGCAGAUGGUGCUGGACCAGCAGGAGGCCGAGCGGCAGAAGGUGCACUCGCAGGAGGUGCAGGCGCAGCUCGAGCUGCAGGAGAAGGAGAUUGCCGUCAAACGCGAGAGCGUCGUCUCCGAGCUGGCCGGCGUCGAGCCAGCCGUCAUCGAGGCCCAGAACGCUGUAAAGUCGAUCAAGAAGCAGAACCUGGUGGAGCUGCGUUCCAUGAGCGCCCCGCCGCCAAUGGUACGACUGGCGCUCGAGUCCAUCUGUCUAUUCCUGGGAGAGGAGACGUCGGACUGGAAGGCCAUCCGAGGCAUCCUCAUGAAGGACAGCUUCAUCCCGAGUAUCGUCAACUACAGCACUGAAAACAUCACUGACAGCACCCGGGAUAAGAUGCGUAAGAAGUUCCUCUCCAACCCCGACUACAACUUUGCCAAGAUCAACAACGCGUCGACGGCCUGUGGUCCCAUGGUCAAGUGGGCCAUCGCUCAGAUCAACUACGCCGACAUGCUGAAGCGUGUGGAUCCGCUGAGGAACGAGCUCAAGUCGCUCGAGUCCCAGGCCGACGAGAACAAACACAAGGCUCAGGAGAUCAUCAAGGUGAUAGAGAAACUGGAGCACUCGAUCGCCAGCUACAAGGAGGAGUACGCCGUGCUGAUCGCCCAGGCCCAGGCUAUCAAAACCGACCUGGCCAGCGUUCAGGCCAAGGUGGACCGUUCCAUGGCGCUGCUGAAAUCCCUCAGCAUCGAGCGAGAGCGGUGGCUGGCCACCAGUGAGACAUUCCGCUCACAGAUGCUCACCAUCGUCGGCGACGUGCUCCUCUCUGCCGCCUUCCUGGCGUACGCCGGCUACUUUGACCAGCAGCUCCGACAGAGUCUGUUCAGUAACUGGUGCGCCCACCUGCAGCAGGCCGCUGUGCAGUACAGGCCAGACCUGGCGCGGACCGAAUAUCUGAGUAAUCCGGACGAGAGGCUGCGCUGGCAGGCCAACUCGCUGCCCACGGAUGACCUCUGCACCGAGAACGCCAUCAUGCUGGAGCGCUUCAACCGUUACCCGCUCAUCAUCGACCCGUCGGGCCAAGCCACCGAGUUUAUCAUGAAGGAGUUCGCCGGCAAGAAGAUCACCAAGACCAGCUUCCUGGACGACAGUUUCCGGAAGAACCUGGAGAGCGCGCUGCGCUUCGGUAACCCGCUGCUGGUCCAGGAUGUGGAGAACUACGACCCGAUUCUGAACCCUGUGCUGAACCGCGAGCUGCGCCGGACCGGCGGCCGUGUGCUGGUGACACUCGGUGACCAGGAUAUCGAUCUGUCGCCCACGUUCACCAUCUUCCUGUCGACACGGGACCCGACGGUGGAGUUCCCUGCCGACAUCUGUUCUCGGGUGACGUUCGUCAACUUCACGGUAACCCGCAGCAGUCUGCAGUCGCAGUGUCUGAACCAGGUGCUGAAGGCCGAGCGGCCUGACAUCGACGAGAAACGCUCCGAUCUGCUCAAACUGCAGGGCGAGUUCCAUCUGCGUCUGCGCCACCUGGAGAAGUCGCUACUUCAGGCUCUGAACGAUGCCAAGGGUAAGAUUCUGGACGACGACAGCGUCAUCACCACGCUGGAGACGCUGAAGAAGGAGGCGGCCGAGAUCACUAGCAAGGUGGAGGAGACGGACAAGGUGAUCGCCGAGAUCGACACCGUCUCGCACCAGUAUAUGCCGCUGGCACAGGCGUGCAGCAGCAUCUACUUCAUGCUGGAGUCGUUGCACCAGAUCCACUUCCUGUACCAGUUCUCGCUGCAGUUCUUCCUGGAUGUGUUUAGCUGUGUGCUCACGCCGGCCACCAACCCGGCGCUCGAGGGCAAGACCGACUCGGCCGAGAGACUCAACAUUAUCACACAGGCGCUCUUCUCCGUGUGCUACAACCGGGUGGCCCGCGGCAUGGCCCACCAGCACCGCCUCACCCUGGCGCUCCUACUGGCCCGUAUCCGUCUGCGGGGCGCCACCGGGCCGGCCGGUGACCUAGACGCCGAGUUCGACUUCCUGAUCCGCGGCAAGGAGGGCAUCGUGACGCAGAAGCCGGCCAACCGCACCGGGCUGACUGACGAGCAGGCCGAGAACAUGCUCCGACUGGCGCAGCGACUGCCGGCGUUCUCGGAGCUGGCCGACCACGUGGGCACGGCUCCGUUCCAGGAGUGGCUCCAGGCGGCCACCGCGGAGCUCAGCGUGCCGGCCGUCUGGAAUGAGGAGACGGUCACGGCGCCGGCCGCAGUGGCCAUGCAUCGGCUGCUCAUGAUUCAGACGUUCCGUCCGGACCGGGUGCUGGCCGCCGGCCAUCAGCUGGUGGACGCCGUGUUCGGCGAACGCUUUAUGCCGGACGCCGAGCGUGAGCUCGACCUGGCGCACAUCGUCGAGUCGGAGGUGCGCCCGAGCGCGCCCGUGCUGCUCUGCUCAGUGUCUGGUUACGACGCGUCCGGACGGGUGGACGAUCUGGCUGCAGAGCUCGGCAGGCCGGUGACCAGUAUCGCCAUCGGCUCGGCGGAGGGAUUCAGCCAGGCCGACAAGGCCAUCAACUCGGCCGUCAAGACUGGACGGUGGGUGAUGCUCAAGAACGUUCACUUGGCUGCCUCGUGGCUGGUGCAGCUGGAGAAAAAGCUGCACACCCUGCAGCCCAACGCCAACUUCAGGCUGUUCCUGACGAUGGAAAUCAGUCCCAAGAUCCCGGUGAACCUGCUGCGGGCCGGCCGUAUUCUGGUGUUCGAGCCGCCGCCGGGCAUUCGCGCCAACCUGCUGCGCACAUUCAGCUCGGUGCCGGCGGCGCGGAUGAUGAAGCCUCCCUCAGAGCGGGCGCGCAUCUACUUCCUGCUGGCCUGGUUCCACGCCGUUGUCCAGGAGCGGCUCCGGUACGCGCCGCUCGGAUGGUCCAAGGGAUACGAGUUCAACGAAUCCGACCUGCGCGUGGCCUGCGAUACGCUCGACACCUGGAUAGAGGCUACGGCUAUGGGCCGCACGAACCUGCCGCCGGAGAAGGUGCCCUGGUCGGCGCUGCAGACGCUCCUCUCGCAGUGCAUCUACGGUGGAAAGAUCGACAACGAGUUCGACCAGCGCCUGCUCUCCAGCUUCCUGGACAAGCUGUUCACGCCGGCCAGCUUCGACGCCGAGUUCGCCCUGGUGGCCGGCGCCGGUCCGGACGGGAAGGAUAUCGGCAUGCCGGAGGGUAUUCGUCGCGACCAGUUUCUGCAGUGGGUGGAGCAGCUGUCGGAUCGACAGACGCCCGCCUGGCUCGGACUGCCCAACAACGCUGAAAAGCUGCUGCUGACCACUCGCGGCACAGACAUGGUGGCCUCUCUGCUCCGGAUGCAACUCCUCGAGGAUGACGGCGAGGCGGCCUACGUGGACGAGCGCGAGGCGGAGAAGCGGCAGGCGGACGCGCGGCCGGCCUGGAUGCGCGUGCUGCACAACAGCGGCAGGACUUGGAGUCAGCUGCUGCCCUCUCAGCUGCAGACUCUGCGGCGCACGGUGGACAACAUCCGCGACCCGCUCUACCGCUACUUCGAGCGCGAGGUCAACAUCGGCGCCAAGCUGCUGUCGCUGGUGCAGAACGACAUCCGAGACAUCAUCGCCAUCUGCGAGGGCACCAAGAAGCAGACCAACUACCACCGUACCAUGGUGGCUGAGCUGGUGCGCGGCGUGAUCCCGGCCAGCUGGCGGCAGUACAAGGUGCCCGCCACCACCACAGUCAUCCAGUGGGUGACCGACUUCGCGCAGCGCGUCAAACAGCUGCACACCAUCAGCUCCAGCGUGGCGCAGCAGGGCGCCGGAGCGCUUAAGGCGCAGCAGAUCUGGCUGGGCGGCCUGUUCAACCCGGAGGCGUACGUCACUGCCACGCGCCAGUGCGUGGCUCAGGCCAACAGCUGGUCCCUCGAGGAGCUCCACCUGCGCGUCACCGUCACCGAGGCGGACGCCGCCGUCGAGCCGGGCAGCAUGUCGCUGCGCGGCCUGAAGCUGCAGGGCGCGCUGUGCCGCGACAACCAGCUCCACCUGACGACUACUAUACAGACGGAGCUGCCACAGGUACAGCUGACCUGGGCGCGCGGCGAGACGCGCGACCCGCAGCAGCGCUACAUCACGCUGCCCGUCUACCUGAACGCCACGCGCGCCGAGCUGCUCUUCACGGUCGACCUGCCCGUGGCCGGCCAGCAGUCCGAGCACAGCUUCUACGAGCGCGGCGUGGCACUGGUCGCCUCCACCAACCUCAACUAGUGGCCUUGUCGGGAUGAAACGAACUUCACCCGGGCGGUCUCACCACCGGCGACAAGACACUGGAUAUGACAUACGUAGGCGGACCUACCCAGUUACUGAUAACACUGAUCGCACCUUAUCGGCUUCCACUAGGCUACCUACACUCUUUUAACCCAACUACCAGACUAUAGAUGCCGACUUCGCUACAUGUAUCGCACCUCGGCAAAGUAAACCCGUAUGACUGCACUCGAUUCAAUGUGCGCCUUUGGCACGAAAUGUACGGUCCGGCAGUGUAUCGAAGGUGUUAUUUUGGCGCAUGUUGAAAUGUUUAUCUAAGAUAGUUCUGUCGGUACAUGCUUCCGGUCGUGGUCUUUUAAUGGUUAUUGUGUUGUUAAUGGGUCUAUUGUGCAUCUUGCACUCUAACGAGCAUUAUAUCGGUGUGAGAGUCUCGCUUUUGUCUUUAAGAUGUUCCUGUUCGUAUCCUAGUACCCGAGUCACCGACUUUUGGAUUACUUUAUGUUUCAUUCUGCACAGUCAAUGCUUGGUGAUAUUUCCUUGUGAUUUAACAUAGCAGCUUAUUGUCUCAGUUCAGUGAUUAAAAUGGCUUUCGGUGUGCGGUUGUUUAGAGAGGUUUCUGGCAGUUUUUCUUCUGCAUGAUGGGUCUGAACCCUGCUGAAAUAUCAUUUCCCCAUAUUGCUGGAAAAAUAUACGUUAGAAAUUCGCAGA